rnacentral:rRNA from 1 species
GACGAACGCUGGCGGCAUGCCUAAUACAUGCAAGUCGAACGCUGAAGCACCCUGCUUGCAGAGUGCGGAUGAGUGGCGAACGGGUGAGUAACACGUGGGAAAUCUGCCUAUAAGAGGGGGAUAACAUUCGGAAACGGAUGCUAAUACCGCAUAUAUUCUUGGACCGCCUGGUCCUUGAAAGAAAGACGGCUUUGCUGUCGCUUAUAGAUGAUCCCGCGGCGUAUUAGUUAGUUGGUGGGGUAAAGGCCUACCAAGACAAUGAUACGUAGCCGACCUGAGAGGGUGAUCGGCCACACUGGGACUGAGACACGGCCCAGACUCCUACGGGAGGCAGCAGUAGGGAAUCUUCCACAAUGGGCGAAAGCCUGAUGGAGCAAUGCCGCGUGAAUGAAGAAGGUCUUCGGAUCGUAAAGUUCUGUUAUUAGAGAAGAACAAGUCAAGGAGUAACUGUCUUGACUUUGACGGUACCUAACCAGAAAGUCACGGCUAACUACGUG